rnacentral:rRNA from 1 species
CGCCAGUUCGCGUGGAGCCAUCCUUGAAAUACCACCCUGGCAUGCUUGAGGUUCUAACUCUGGUCCGUGAUCCGGAUCGAGGACAGUGUAUGGUGGGCAGUUUGACUGGGGCGGUCUCCUCCUAAAGAGUAACGGAGGAGUACGAAGGUGCGCUCAGACCGGUCGGAAAUCGGUCGCAGAGUAUAAAGGCAAAAGCGCGCUUGACUGCGAGACAGACACGUCGAGCAGGUACGAAAGUAGGUCUUAGUGAUCCGGUGGUUCUGUAUGGAAGGGCCAUCGCUCAACGGAUAAAAGGUACUCCGGGGAUAACAGGCUGAUACCGCCCAAGAGUUCAUAUCGACGGCGGUGUUUGGCACCUCGAUGUCGGCUCAUCACAUCCUGGGGCUGAAGCCGGUCCCAAGGGUAUGGCUGUUCGCCAUUUAAAGUGGUACGCGAGCUGGGUUUAGAACGUCGUGAGACAGUUCGGUCCCUAUCUGCCGUGGACGUUUGAGAUUUGAGAGGGGCUGCUCCUAGUACGAGAGGACCGGAGUGGACGAACCUCUGGUGUUCCGGUUGUCACGCCAGUGGCAUUGCCGGGUAGCUAUGUUCGGAAAAGAUAACCGCUGAAAGCAUCUAAGCGGGAAACUUGCCUCAAGAUGAGAUCUCACUGGGAACUUGAUUCCCCUGAAGGGCCGUCGAAGACUACGACGUUGAUAGGCUGGGUGUGUAAGCGUUGUGAGGCGUUGAGCUAACCAGUACUAAUUGCCCGUGAGGCUUGACCAU